rnacentral:lncRNA from 1 species
CAACAGCUGAGAUGUCACCAUGCCACCCACAAGGGACCUGGGACUCCCACUGGGGUUGCCGGCCUUCCCAAGCCUGUAGGUCAGUCAGGGGACAUUUGGAGACAUCUAUGGCCCUGUCUCUGGCCACCAGACUCUUGUGAGAACGAUCCCCAAAGAAUGAAGAUUUCUCCCUGAACUUCGUGCACGUGGAGGGAAGGCUGGGUGUCCUGGGACAGGAAGAGCUUUCUUCCCUGGGUAAGAUCCCACUUCCCUGGGUUCUGUCAGGCCAUUGUGCUGGCAAGACCGGAGCAGCACCUGGACCAGCAGGGCUUGGCUGCGCGCACACUCACUUUCUAUUCAGAUCUAGACGUCAGGUCAGCGCCCGGAGGAUGCACUUGGGCCAUGUCCACUGGGUCCCUUUGUUCAUUCCUCUUCCCAAUGUGGCCCUAGUGAAUAAAUCUCUUUGCUUAGCUUCUCA